AGAACUAAGGAGGCCUCAAGACGGAGAUAAGUGGUCCACAUGGAUACCUGGAUACUAGAAUAAUUUGGAUGCAUUUAGAAUUUGGGCUAGACAAGGAAUUUGUCUCACCCCCAAGCUUUUUGGAUCUGUGGCUACAUUUUGGUUCUCUGCUUGUUUCUAUAGCAAGACUGGCCCUGACUAUAGUAAAUCAUUGUAAUAGCUCUGUUCAUAUUACAAAGUUGGGGAGUAGAAAGCAAACAAUCUAAACAAUGUAAGACCACCACAAUUACUUUAAUUGUUUUUAUAGAUUACCCAUAAAACUGUGGGCACUUUUCAGGCAUAGAAAAAACAUAGACUUGGAUUUAGAUCUUAUAGCCCAAGGCUCCAGCUCCUCACACUUUCAAAAUUCCCAUUGAUUGCCAUAAUAGAUAUAGGAUAAAAUGCAGGAAAUCCAGGAUUAUUUAUGCUCUUGGAUUAAAUGAGGUGUUUAUAAGAAGAAAAAGGAUUAGCUUCUGGGGGACAGAAGGUUGCUGUCUCUUCUGUAUAGAUGUGUAGUCUGAAGACAUGGGAGAUGCUCCCACUUGCCAUUGGGUAAUUACUGAUAUCUUUAUUCUGCUUAGCUUUCCUGUUAUCCAUUUCAUAUGAAAUACAGUCCGAGUUAUGAUGAAGAAAUAUUAGAAAUAAACAAGGUUUAUUCCUAAUAGUAAUAAUAAUAAUAGUUAAAUCAGACACGGAUUCUAUUGUCUGGUUUUUAAAUUAUGGGAGAAUUACACCCACAAGACAGGUUACUUUUACUUUGAAAUAGGUAAUAUUUUCAGAGCACCUGGGGCUGGCCUCAUCAUGCUUCCACCAAAGUGAAAGGUUAAAGCUUCCACUCACUUCAGUAGGAACAAAAGCAGGCAAAUGAUGAGUAUGUUUGGGAGCAUUCCCUGUCAAGUAAUUACGAUUCAGCAUUCUGCUGGCCAGAGUCUCAAGUGAUUUAUCAACUAAUGAAAGCUGAUAUGAAUUCAUUUUACUCAGUGUAGCUGGAUCAAUUUAUAUCCAACCUUCUCUUCCGGGAAUUCCUAAUUACAAUAUUGAUGUAACAAUGAUGGGCUAAGUAUACAGGCAAAACUAGCUCUGUGGGAAGAGGUGAUAUGUUUGUUGCUCCAUCUUCUAUUGCUGGCCAAAUAGACAAUCUUCAGAGUACUUAAAAAACCCUUUUUCCAUUUUGACCUGAAGUUUGACCCAUAUUUCUGAAGGAGUUUCUACAGAGUCUGUCAACUCCGUGGCCAUCCUCAGGAUUCUUCUGGCCGUGAAGACCACUCUGUGCCUCUCUGGGCAUAUCUGAAAAGCGAGGUCUCAACACACCCUGUUCCUAGCCUACCAUUUGCAUGUUUCAUCCAAAACCCAAUAAGAGAACUCUUCAGUGCCAUUAGAGCAAGACAAGCAUUUCCAAGAAAAAGGAAAAACUGAAUAUCUGCAUUUUCAGCAGUGACUAGUAUUGGUUAUUCCUCAGUUUUGAAGUUCACAAGCAGAGAAUUCAAAGGAAACUUUGGAAGGAAGUCCAAAUGAAAAGGGGCCCCAAUUUCAGGUUGAUGGUAUUUUCUGCUAUUUAAACUCCUCUUUUGAUGUAUCUCCAGUCAGGCAUCUGAAUCACUAGUCAUUUUAGAACUCUCGGGCUCAUUCUUUUCUUUAUUCCUCAUCUUUUUCUCUUUUCCUCUUCUCUUUUUUAUUAAGGUCAAAUCCUGCUUCUCCUGAUGCCAAUAAUAAAACUCCCAUUGAUUUCAACAUGAGCAGGAAAUAUGCAGUUUGCUAUUUACCACAACCACCACAAUGAAUCUCUGGGAAGAAUUCAUUUACAUUCAUUCCAACGAUACCAUGAAAAAUGGGCUCUUGCUAUUUUAUCACAUCCAAACUGUUGCUCUAACUCUAACAUCCUAGCUGUUGCUAACAAGUCAGUGAUGAUUUGUAAACCAACAAUUUAUGGUAACCACAUUCCAUCCCCAUUAUGAUGUGUGGUUUGGAAAUGGAAAAGUAAUCAAGACCUCCUGUUAAGAGACUUUAUUUCAGUUGAAUGCUUCUGUAAAUAAAAGCAUUUUGAAAGGAUCAUUGCUAUAUAUUUCUAACUCCAAAUUGUUCAUUUGAUCUAGGCCCCAUCUACGCUCCAAAUUCCUGCCAGGCUCUGUCUGUCAGGAGUGUGAGAUCCCCAACAGUGGCAUGAGCAUGCUGGCAAAAUUGUUUCCAUCAGUAUAAGUAUUUUCACUCAAUUGGAUAGUUUCACUAGACUGGAACAGCAGUUCCAUUUCUUAGAGACAGCUAUGUCCAUUCCUUGGAAUACUUUAUAAUAUUUUAUCAGCAGACUAUAAGGGUACACUGACAUAAAUAAAUGCCUCCUACUACUGUUACAGUAAUAGAUGAAAAAUAGUCAGACCCAUGGUAUGUAGUAAUGCACUUGGGAACUAAGAGCCUGCGUAGUUUUGUGCAACACUUUGUCUUGGUCAUAAGGAUUGUGGGCAAUCACUGUGACACUAAGGAGGACUUUCCAGCACUUUGAUGGGUGACCACCUAGAACUACUGGUAAAUAGGCUCAAAUAAGGGAAUUUUGUUCCAGUACAAGGUUCUGGUACCAAAUAUGUUGGAAAACUUCUUUUGAUCUCUUUGACACUAAUAUACACCAUCUUUCAACCCUGCGUAAGAAGCCUGCAGCCUGGAUUUGAGGUGAGAGUCAAUAUUUGUAGUAACCUGCUAAAGGAGUUACCAAAUUAAGGAGUCUACAGACUGCCCUAGUUAAUCAGCAGUAACUAUGAUGUGAUAUGAAUAUAGAGACCAUGCUAAUUAGGAGUUAAAGCUCUCAUCCUACCUCUUCUUUGGCAAAAAAUCACUACUUGGUUAGUUUAGACAUCCCACUGGGGGAAAUCUGUCACUUCAGAGGGUUUACAUGAAUGCUAUGAUUUUUUUGUUGAAUAAAAACCUGUCUACUAAAAAUAUUCACAAAAUGACUUUUAUUUUAUGACCUAAGAAGAGUUUUUGAACAGGUA